GGUGGGAUGGGUGAGUGGCUGAAACCAACAGUUUGCUAAACUGUCGUACGGGUAACUGUACCGCGAGUUCGAAUCUCGCUCCCACCGCCA
rnacentral:tRNA from 1 species